rnacentral:rRNA from 1 species
UACGAAGGGGGCUAGCGUUGCUCGGAAUCACUGGGCGUAAAGCGCACGUAGGCGGGUCUUUAAGUCAGGGGUGAAAUCCUGGAGCUCAACUCCAGAACUGCCUUUGAUACUGAAGAUCUUGAGUUCGGGAGAGGUGAGUGGAACUGCGAGUGUAGAGGUGAAAUUCAUAGAUAUUCGCAAGAACACCAGUGGCGAAGGCGGCUCACUGGCCCGAUACUGACGCUGAGGCACGAAAGCGUGGGGAGCAAACAGG